rnacentral:misc_RNA from 1 species
UUUGAACGAUAAUUUUGUAAAGCUGUGAUCUAUAAACCUUU